UGGGCCUCUUAUUAUAAAUCUGGAUCGGGUCCAGCCCAAACCAGGCGGCUGUGACCCGGCCCAAACCCCUUUAAAAAAGGAAGAAGAGAGAGGAGCAUUUAAAGUGGGGUAUACCCCCCAUUUCCCCAUUUCCCACUUUUUGAGAAAAACCUUCCCCCUACCCCUUCUCUCUCUUCCUUUUUCCUUAACCCUAGCGCCGCCUACAAAAUUUUUCUCUCUCUAUGCCAAAAAUGGAAAAAUUUCAUAGCAAUGGUACUCGUCGCAUGCAGCUUUACCAUGUCCAUUUUGGUGAAAGAAUUAAAUAUCAUACCUGAAUUCGUGGUUUCAAGACGCGAAUAUGGUGCAGACACUCAGUUUGGUGAUCCGCCAGCCUAAGACUUCUGCCCAGCUGAUUGGAGAGCGCCAUUGUUCCGGAGCUUGAGUCAUUUUGGUACAGAUCCUUUGAUAUAGACUUAUGCAUAUCCAUGGGUAUGGCGGGGCCCUAUCCUAUGAUAUUUCAUUGUUAUACUCUUAGAGGUCUGUAGACAUGUGUGGGUUGUAUAUAUGUUUGGUUAGAUAUAUCGACGUAGUUCGUUUUGGAUAUUCCCGUAUACAGUGGCAGCCUUGUCGGCUUGCAUAUUUUGUUAUGUUUUGGUUAGCUGUAACUCUUCAGGAGACAGGUUCAUUCUGAUAUAUGACAUUAUGAGUCUACAA